rnacentral:lncRNA from 1 species
CGUCCCUCAGGAAGUGCCCAAGGCCCCAUCUGAGCCUGUCUCUGCUGUAUCCAGCCAAAUCCCUCAUUCAGCAGCUGAUGGAGGACAACCAAUGUCCCUCGCAUCUCUCGCUCUCCUCCUCAUCACUCCUCAUCUCGUCUCUCAAGGGAAACCAGCUUGUUCACUUCUUCCACGACAAUAUUGCAGAGAUGGAGAAUGAGUAGCUGAAACACAUCCUGUGGACGUCAGUGCUCUUCUACAGAUCUCCUGAUGUGGAGACGACUGCCUGUGUCCUGCUGUCCACCAAAGCCAUCUACUUCAUCCAACUGCAGAGCGUCAAUGUGGACUUGUUCGAUCAGUUCUUCAGAGUCAUGGUACCGUCCUACAACCCAAGACUCUCAUACUCACCAGCACGGAUGUCUUCCUACUGGAUGAAGACCACAUCAGUUACCCACUACCUGAGUUCGCAAAAGAGCCACCACAAAGAGAAAAGUACCGGCUCACGGACGCCCGGCGGAUACACCUGGAUCCGCGUGCUAAUGGGCUGCCAGACUUACCCACAAGCCCUCACGCUGGUGUUUGAUGGUGUUCCCGGGCUGGAUCUUUUGUGCCACCUUACCAUAGACCAUUUUGCAGAUGGUGACAGGAAGGGUGACAGGACGCAGAUGUUCGGAUGA